AAUAAACAUCUAUUUGAAACCCUAAAUUCCCAAUAUAAAAUGAAGAAAAAAAACAACACCAAAGGAGAGGAUUAAAAACAGCAUCAAAGAGAUCAAUAACAACAUCUUCAAAAAUUUCUUAUUAUCACAAGAGCAAAAAUCAGAGACAUGUAUCUGAGAUUGGUACCCCUUCCUGACCAUCCUUGUUUCUUAUCAUAUUUUUUUACUCAUAUUUUAUGAACUCCAUUGCUUAUUCUGCUCAAUACAUAGCUUAUUCUCCUCAAUAUGUAUGCUCUGGUUGCUGUACUUUUUUUGUUCCCGUAUUUCUUGUUGAUGGCCUGACUGUUGCUCUAUAGCUCAUUUUGAAACCACGUUUCGAAACCGUGAGAGCUUGAUCCCGUUGAGCUAGGGUCGGCCGCCGUGGAGGUUUUGGCCGCUGGUUUCGAAAUCGUGAGUGUUUGGCCAUUUCGAAAUUGUGAGAGUGUGGCCGUUUCAAAAUCCUUAGGGUAGAACCGAGUUUGUUUGAACGGUCACGGCAGGAGAGGGUUCAUCAUUGGACAGAGAGAUGGGUUUGAUCAUGGUGUUUUGUUUUUGUCUCAUUUGACAGAAGAAGAAGAAGAAGAAGCGUUCAGGAGGCUAGGGUUUCGUCCCAAGUGAAACUUUUUUUAUUUUAUUAUCUUGGUCGGCUGGGUCAGUUGAGGUCUGACCCGGAUCUCCUGACCCGUGUCUGAAGCCCAACUGAGACUCCCCUUUGGGCCUUUUUUUUAUCCACGACCCAAUCAUUAUUAUUUUAUUUAGAAAUUCCAUUUGAAUCAUAUUUUAUAUCGCUGUGUGAAUUAUCUUACAAUUAACCGCUCCUAGCCUUGUGGGAGGUGGUUUAGAUUUCUUCUGUUUCCCACUAGGUUCUUAGUUCAAUCCUUGGCUUUGUAGUUUUUGGUUUCAUUAAUUUAUUUUUUAGAAUAGUCAUUCUUUAUUUUAUUUUCCUUUCGUAACUAUUUGAUUUUUAUUAAUUUUUUUUGUAUCCCCUAUUUAAUCUAAAAAAUAUUGAUGUUUUAUUCUAUUUUCGUUUAUUUUGACUUUGAUUUUAAAAUAUAUAAAAAAAAGGGGAAACUUAUUUAUUUAUUUAUAUAUUUAUUUAUUUAUUUAAAGUCGACUUAUUAUGAGUCCUUUUAUGUCAAGUCUUGGUGAGGGUAUCCAUUCAAAUUCCUUUGAUUUCAAACUUCCAUACUUUGAUCAUUUAAUCUCAAACGUUCAUAUUAACCUUUUCUUUUAAAUAUUUUCUCAAUAAAAUAUGAAGAAAAAGAUUACCCUGGAUGGAAUAUCCAGUCGUAAUCCCGAAUAUUAGGCCCAAGUUGUAAGAGCUUGUAAGCCCUAUGUAUUCGUCUUCUCUUCAAAAUAUUUGUAAAUAUUCAAACGUAUUUUUCUCAAUAAAAUCUGAAAGAAAAAAUUACUCCUGGAUGGAAUAUCCAGUCGUAAUCCGAAUAUUAGGCCCAAGUUGUAAGAGCUUGUAAGCCCUAUGUAUUCGUCUUCUCUUCAAAAUAUUUGUAAAUAUUCAAACGUAUUUUUCUCAAUAAAAUCUGAAGAAAAAGAUUACUCUGGAUGGAAUAUCCAGUCAUAAUCUUGAAUAUUAGGCCCAAGUUGUAAGAGCUUGUAAGCCCUAUGUAUUCAUCUUCUCUUCAAAAUAUUUCUAAAUAUUCAAACAUAUUUUUCUCAAUAAAAUCUGAAGAAAAAGAUUAUUCUGCAUGGAAUAUCCAGUCGUAAUCCCGAAUAUUAGACCCAAGUUGUAAGAGCUUGUAAGCCCUAUGUAUUCGUCUUCUCUUUAAAAUAUUUGUAAAUAUUCAAACGUCUUUUCUCAAUAAAAUUGAAAGAAAAAGAUUACCUGGGUGAAAGGUCCAGAUGUAGUCCCGAGUAUUAGACACAAGUUGUAAGAGCUUGCAAGUCAUAAAUACUCGUCUUUCAAGCCCAAAAAUACAUCCAACCAAUCAAACUCUUUUCUUCGUCGCCAUGCGAUUGAUCAGAAAAACCUUUUCAAAACGAAAGACAUCUUGUUUUAAGGUGAUGUAAAGCAAUGCUUCGACCACAAUUGUUGAGUUGAGAUAAGUGAUAUUUUUCCUAAUGUUGAUUUGUAAGUCCAUUUGAUGUGUGGUAUACGUCCGCUCCUCAUCUGUUUUGGGUAAAACAAUGUUUUUGUCGAUUAAUAUAAUAUAGCUUUCGCUAAAAUCGACCAACAAACAAACAUUUUCUACCUAGAAUUACGUAAGUCUUGAGUUCUCUAUUGAGAUACGUAGGAGCAGGAUUGCGAAGUCUUGUCAGGCCCAUUAAUAAAAACUUAGGUUUAGUCCCAUUCGUUGCAAAAAUCCAAAAACAUCUUCUCUUUUCUUUUGAUCCUAUCUUUCUUCCCCACCUAAUAUCUUGAGAAGCCUAAAAUUUCAAGCUAACACUAACGCGCACAAUUAACCUAAUGGUUCCCGUUGAGUACAACGGACGUGAGGGGUGCUAAUACCUUCCCCUUGCGUAAUCGACUCCCAAACCCUGAUUUGGUUGCGACGACCAUAAUCAUUGUCGUUCUUUCUUUGGUUUUAUCGAUCUUUCCCCUUUCUUUUUUAGGAAUAAAUAAAGUUCGGUGGUGACUCUGUUUAGUCCAUCAUGCGAGCGUGCGAUUGCGCUUCGCUAAGUCGUGUUCUCAUUUUUUCGAGGUGCGACAGCGCGCCUUGUUGCUCAAGGGUAUAACCAAGAGGAAGACAUCGACUAUGAGGAAACUUAUGCUCAAGUUGCCCAACUCUAGGCUAUACGCCUUUUGCUUGCCUAUGCAUGUUCUCCAAAUUUCAAAUUAUUUCAAAUGGAUGUUAAGAGUGCUUUCCUAAACGGUCACAUUAGUGAAGAGGUCUAUGCACCUCAACCUCCCGAUUUUGAAAACCAUGAGCAUCCUAACUAUGUUUAUAAGCUUAAACGUGCUUUAUACGGUCUCAAACAAGCCUCUAAGGCAUGGUAUGAGCGUCUUAGCAAAUUUCUAUUAGAACAAGGAUUCUCAAGAGGUAAGGUUGAUACAACCCUUUUUAUUAAGCAUCAAAGAAAACACUCUAUUUUAGUUCAAGUCUAUGUAGAUGACAUUAUUUUUGGAUCUACUAACAUAAAUUUGGUCAAGGAAUUCUCUAAGUUGAUGUAGGGAGAAUUUGAAAUGAGCAUGAUGGGGGAGCUAAAUUACUUCCUCAGACUUCAAAUCAAGCAACUUGAAGAAGGAACACAUUUAAAAGCCGUCAAGCGCAUACUUAGAUACCUCUAUGGUACGUCAAAGUAUGGACUUUGGUUUUCUAGGGGAAAUGGUUGCUCUUUGGUUGGAUACUCCGAUUCCAACUUUGCCGGUUGCAAAUCGGAUAGGAAAAGCACUAGCGGCACUUGUCAUUUUUAUUCAAAUUCCUUAGUGAGUUGGCACAACAAAGAUCAAGUUUCAGUUUCUUUGUCAAUAGUCGAGGCAGAAUACGUUGUUACGGGUAAUUGUUGCGCUUAAAUUCUAUGGCUCAAACAACAAUUACUCAACUUCAAUGCUCAGCUUGAACGUAUGCCCAUUUUUUGUGACAACACAAGUGCCAUCAAUUUAACCAAAAAUCCUAUACUACACUCGCACACUAAACAUAUUGAAAUUAGGCAUCACUUUCUUAGGGAUCAUGUUGAGAAAGGUGAUGUUGUCUUCGAGCAUGUUGAUAGCAAAAAUCAACUUGUCGAUAUCUUCACAAAGCCACUUGCGACAUAGCCUUUCUUCCACAUCCGUAGGGAACUUGGUGUUCUCGAUAUCUCAGAUCGCGUUUAAAUACAUAUUUAUGCGUGUCUAUUCCUUGAUUUAUAAGUGCGGCUAUGUGAGGUCACUCGUCGUCUAUCACCAUUGGAGGUAAUAUAUUUCCUAUCCAUUUGACCUAUAUUGUAUGUAUAUACUUGAUCUAUGUAACUCUUGAUGUCAUUCGAUGGCUUGAUCUAAGUUUGAUAAACUACUAUGUUUGAAUUAUACUUGAACUUGCUUAGGUAUCAUAUUUACAGUAUUUAGUCAUUUGUCCUAAAGUUUAUGCUAAACAAAUAUGGCAAUGUUAUUUAGUUAUUUUUCUUUACUCUGUGUAAUAUUUAUGCAUAUACUUCUUCCAUUGACUACAUGUUAUGUGCAUGGUUGUUGAUGUCUAUAUGUUGCAAAGUCGCUGACUAAGUGAUUUUGAAUAUCUUUACUUCAUGUUGACCUUUUCAUUGUUUCUUUUUUAUGUUGACAAAGGGGGAGAAGUAAUGGAAACAAACACAAUAGCUGAUUUAGCAGAUGGAUAAUAGCAGAAUGUUUGAAGGCAUACAUAAAAUCAGGGGGAGGAUGUCUAUCAAAGUACGCGUUUGUGCCACGGUUUGCCAUCAUCAAAAAGGGGGAGUAUGUAAGGGCAAAUAUGCCUAAUCCUUAUUUUAAUGAUGUCAAACCUUUCUAAUCGCCCACAAUGUGUCUUUGGACAAUAUCAUCAUAGUAUAAAAUGAAUUCAUCCUCUACCGUGUUCAAAAUA
rnacentral:lncRNA from 1 species